GAUCAUGGCUCAGGAUGAACGCUAGCUACAGGCUUAACACAUGCAAGUCGAGGGGCAGCAUUGACGAUAGCUUAGCUAUUGUUGAUGGCGACCGGCGCACGGGUGAGUAACGCGUAUCCAACCUUCCCGAUAGCUAGGGAAUAACCUUGCGAAAGUAAGACUAAUGCCCCUAUAACCAUUCGUUUGCAAGACAUCUAAAGAGAAGUUAAAGAUUUAUCGGCUAUGGAUGGGG
rnacentral:rRNA from 1 species